CUGGGAAACACUGAGACAGAAAUCACCUUCCUUCGCUUAGUGCUUCUCUGCCCACCGCAGGUUUGGGAAAACGGGGGUCUAGUUUUGGGCAUGCACACAAAUUGUGGACAGCAUCUUUUUUAAAAAAAUUGAAAUAUAAAGUUUCCAGUAUAAAAAUUUUGCACAAAAGUGUAGCUAAAAUAGUGUGUGUGUUGCUUCAAGUCAGGAAACCUGAGGUGUUGGUGGGUGGCUGCAAAUAUAAAUAUUUUUUAAAAAAACACAAGCUUUCCAAUAUUCCAGAUUUGCACUGUUAAAUGAAUUAAUAAAUAAAUUGUGUGUCCUCCAGGCCUAAGAUUUGGAGUCACUCACAUGGCAGACUGCCAUUUCUUUCCUUUCCUUUUUGCUUUCCUAUCUCCUGUACCUGAUAGGGUAAGUUUUUUGUUUGUUUUUUGUUUAUUAAUGCAGCUGAUUUGUGUAAGAGCUGUUCUGUGCAAAAUAGCUGUUAUUGAAAACAAAACUACCAAGAACAUGUAAUCAGCAACCACCAGUAGAAAAAGACAGGUUGGGGUGCAGCAAUAGAUGGCACCCAGCAAAAUGUCACCAUACAUGUAAAAAUACGCAUCCUCUCAAUGUGCUUCAGUAUGUCCACAGUUGAGUGACAUGUGAUGUUAUAUAUAGGUAUAUUUCCCCUUAUUGGGUUAUCCAUCAAUUAGGAAAACCUGAAUUUAGUGGGGGGGGGGGAGUUCAGGCUGCUACUUGGGUGACAUUGUGGAACAUGAUGUCAUUGUGGAAACCGCUAACUAAAGGAAUAAAUGAAAAAGAGACACAAGCCGUUUCAAGUCCACAUUAAACUCCCGUGUGAAUGAGCGCUAAGACUUGGAAGACCCUGGUCCUGAUUUCCAUUCUGCUUGAAGUUCCCUGAGUGACUCUUUCUUAGCCUGACCCAACCUCACAAGAUUGCUGUGAAGAUAAACUGGAUUGGGGCAUGACACCAGGUACGUAGCCUUGAGCUUCCUGGAGAAAAGCAGGAGAUCAAUGUAAUAAAGCUAUACUUCAUCUGAAUGUGGAAGGCUUAUUUUUAGUGAUAGUUGUCACUGAUUGCAGAACAUUGUUAUUAUUAUUAUUUUUUCAGCUUGUACUGCAAGAAUGAGCAUCUGACUAUAAAUUACCAAAAAACAAAAGUUAUGACAUUCGGCAAAUCUAAGAAAACUUACAAUUGGUCACUCGAUAGAAAUACACUGGAGCAAGUAUUCUCAUUCAAGUAUCUCUGUGUGGUCUUUCAGUGGAUAGGAAAAUGGUCUGCACAGGUUCAAUCAAGCACCCUAUUAGCUGGUAGAGCUUUAAAUGGACUACCACGAUUCCACCUUACAAAAGGGGGCAACUUGGUGCAGCCCACUUUAGAAGAAGAGGAGUUUGGAUUUGAUAUCCCGCCUUUCACUCCCCUUCAGGAGUCUCAAAGCGGCUAACAAUUCUCCUUUCCCUUCCUCCCCCACAAGAAACACUCUGUGAGGUGAGUGGGGCUGAGAGACUUCAGAGAAGUGUGACUGGCCCAAGGUCACCCAGCAGCUGCAUGUGGAGGAGCGGAGACGCGAACCCCGUUCCCCAGAUUACGAGACUACCGCUCUUAACCACUACACCACACUGGCUCUCUUUAGAACUUUAUAAGACCAGGGUGUUGCCCAAGUUGUUAUAUGGAACACCACUGUGGGCCAUGACCAAUUUAGACUCACUGGAGAGAGCGCAAUAUUUUUUUGUGCAGACUUCCAGUCCCUACCUCUACAAAAAUAGCACAGCUCCAUGUGUAACUGGGUGUAAUGCCCAUUAAAGCCAAGGUCUAGCUCUGCUUUUUCGGUUAAUAACUAUUUUUAAGCAUGUAUCAGAAUCCCUCAUGACAUUUUUGGAAGACAUGACCCCAGACUCACGGAAACAUGAAGUGCAAUCUGCUGCCAUGAGGUUGGGACUCUCUGCCUCCUUUCUUGUGACGCAGAGUUUUGAGAAAGCUAAAGAAUUAAUACUCCAAAGGCUUAAAGACACUGAGAUGCAACCACAAACUGCUAAGAUCAAGAUCUGCCAAUCAAACAAAUUGUAUGCUUUUUUUUAUUCCAUUGUAUCUAUCCCUGCCAAGAUAUCUGGUAGAUUUGCCAAAUGUUGAAAUGAGAGUAGUAGCCUUUACUCAGGCAAGACUAAAUGCCCUUGCGUUAGCAUAUUGGACAGGCCAACAUAAAGGAGUUCCUAAGAAGGAUAGAGUUUGCUCAUGCAACUCUCUGUCUAUAGAAGACAUAACUCAUGUACUCCUCCAAUGCCCUUUUUAUAAUGAUCUUAGAAACAAUUACAUCCAUCCAUUGUUAAGAUCACAGAAGGGAAGAGCAUCUCUUGCAAAGACCUGUUUUUGCUGUCUGAUGUGGAGAGGUAUAUAUCCUAUUGAACACCCAAAUUUAUUGCAAAGGCUUUACAAAUUUGUGUAAUACAACUUAAAGGGGGAAUGGGAAAAUAUUUAUCCUGUAAAGGUCAGGGAAUAGAAAUGUCAACUACUAUUCGUAGCUAUAUUCUUGUUGUUAUUAUUUUCAUGUGUGCAAUGGCUAUUCACUAGACACAAUAAAUUGAACUGAACUUAAUUAUUAUGGAUUGUAAUAGAUGUACCCUAUUUCAAAUUUAAAUUGUGAUCUGGUGCAGGGUAGGGCUGCCAUACAUCUGGGUUUUCCUGGACACAUCCGGGAAUCACUCAGAAAAAUGGCAUCUGGGUGGAUUUUUGCUGAAUCGGUGGAAUGUCCGGGAAAAUCGGAUUUUAACUUUUGGGAAUAUGGCAACCUUAGUACAGGGGUACUCAUACUACGGCCCGUGGAGCACCAGUGGUCUACAAACCAUUGCAUGUUUGUGAAGAACACUUACAAUUUGAAUUCUAUAGUAUUCUACGGAAUUCAAAUUGUACUACAAUAAAAUACAAAAGAAGUCAAGCUAGGGUUGCCAUAUGUCAUUCUGUAGUCAGAGGCAAAGCUCAACUUUUCUGUCUGGAUUUUCACUGUUUGAAAUAUGGCAGACCUACAGAAGCAAUUAAAAUACAAUAAAAAUAAUACUAUCUAGCUCAUUACAUUACAAUUGCUACAACAGGCAAAAAAAAAUUUAAGUGGUCCACCAAGACCUUAAGCAAUUUUCAAGUGGCAUGGGGGGGGGGGAUGGUUUGAGAACCACUGAUCUAGUGACUAUUUUUGUCUAUACCUAUUAACGUGUUUCUGCCCAAUGUUAGGCAAUCAAAUCAUGAUACAAAGAGUUGUUAAGGCAUUCCUAUUCAGUGUAAUAUGGGUAUUUUCAUCUGGAUGUAAACACAACUAUAGUUAUAAGGAGAAACAAUUACAUAAGUGUAAGGAUGGGUGACUUUGCAUACAUAUACAUGCAACAACAGUUGCAAACAUAUACCUAUGCACAUGUAGUGGUUACAUAAUACAUCUAUAGAAAUACCUGAAAACGUAUUUACAACUGAAAGUGUAAAAAAACAUAUUUAGUUGCCUAUACUGCAGCUAGAAUUCUAGUUUUCGUAGCAUUUCAAGAGCAUUACAACCUGAAGGUUGGCUUUAUUUACUUACCUAUCCCUACAUUUCAAUACCACUAAGAAAACAGCAACCCCAAAUCAGUGUGGUAUACAUAAAGUCAAUAUAAAAUCAAAAGUUAAAAUAUAUAUUAAAAAACUGAGUCACAAGGUAAGCUUGUGUAAAUAAAAAAAAUGUAGGAUUGUUUUGGUGCCUAACUAAUGAUAGCUAUUGCAGUGGUUGCAAUAAAUGUAUAUGGUACAAAGUGUGGGGACCCAGGAAAGGGCCUUUUCAGGUGUGUGUGUGUGUGGGGUGUCCUUGUACAUAGAGCUGCCUCCCCUUUCUUAUUUAUUUAUUUAUUUGUUAAAUUUAAAUACAACCCAUAAAUAGUGGGGGGGGGUUAUUUAAAACAGUGGAGAAAAGAUAAAGGGAAAAAAGGGUAUAGUACAGUUAGCAAUUACAAUUUUUAACUUACUGUAUUCUGUAUAAAUGAGUUCCAUUUCUUUAUUGUGUUAACUGGCUAGUUAACAAAAAUCUUUUCCAUCAGGUGAUGAAACAGAAGGAGAUGAAGAGAGACCUACCUGAAGAAGGAAAGCCCUGACUGCUGAUGCUUCUGUUAGCAGGGGUUUUUUUAAGCGAUUUGUUGCGUACUUUAACAAUUGUAUUAUUUUAUGUAUUAAGUAUUUUUAAAAUCUAUUUGCCCUGUGGCUUGUAAAUAAAUAAGCUAAUACAUAAACACAUAAAUAAAUGCAUAUGUAAAUAAAAAAGUUUUAUUUGUAGCAUUGGACUGUAACCCUCAUUCCUUAUCCAUUUGGGAUUUGCCUCUACAUUAGCUUUGGUAAAGCAAAAACCAUGUGUUUAUUUUCAGGACCUUUUGACUUUCAUAUAUGCAACCUUGUUCCUCAGGUAUUUCCUCAUAAUCUUGUUCCUCAGGUAUUUCUUAUGAUGAUACUUUUCAGCUAGUAACUUGUUUUACGAAUAAUUUGAAUUAUAUUGUAGGUAGUUAAAUAUCAAAGGGCUUUUACUCUGGACAGAUUUAAUGUGUUUGCCUUCUGAUGGUUGAUUACCUCCUUGUUCUCAAAGCCCCCUGAUAAAAAAUGUGGCCACUACCAAUGGGAUUUUAUCUCCCAGCAAGUAUUUUAUUGUAACAUUGAGCUAACCUUCCUGGUAGUUUGGGUAUCAUUUUCUGACACGUUCCAGUGUAAAAAUUAUAAAAUAAAAGAGCGUGUUCCAUGGAUUUCACACCCUGGUCAUUAUGAGCACAAACCCCACCAUAUCUGACCCAAAAGCAAUUGAGAAGGCAAACACAUUAAAUCUUUCGGAGUGCUCUUUAGUUCAUUGCUCAUCUUGUUUAUAUAUAUAUCUGAGCUGAUGGCAUUUGUAUUAUACAGUGGUACCUCGCAAGACGAAUGCCUCGCAAGACGAAAGAGUUUUUCGUUUUUUGAGUUGCUUCGCAAGACGAAUUUCCCUAUGGACUUGCUUCGCAAGACGAAAAACGAAAACGUCUUGCAAGUUUGUUUCCUUUUUCUUAAAACUGUUAAUACCCAGGGUGCAUUGCUUGAAGAGGUGCAGUUGCGACUUGACUUCAAGGAGCAACUCAUAGCACGUGGUGUGGUAGCCUUUUUUUGAGGUUUUUGAAGACUUUGGUGAUUUUUGAAGCUUUUCCAAAACUUCUUUUGCAGCCAUUUGGUAAGUUAAACUUUUAAAACUUUUUUGGGGGGGGUUGGAUUUUGGGUUGGGGUGUUUGGAAUUCAAGGACUUGGUGUUGGGGAGGGGUUUGCAAAUUUGGCUUGGUUUGGACUUUUUUUGGCCAUAUGAACGCAUUAAUUGAUUUUCAAUGCAUUCCUAUGGGAAACCGUGCUUCGCAAGACGAAAAAUUCGCACGACGAGAAAACUCGCAGAACGAAUUAAUUUCAUCUUGCGAGGCACCACUGUACCUCAUUUUGUAUUUUGCCCUGUACUUAAAACUAUGUUGCAUUGUAUGGUUUUAUUUUUGGUCUUAUUUCUGGCCUGUUGACCAUAGUAAAUUGAUGGGGGUGAUAGAAAAAAACAUGUUUUAAGCUGGUUUCUAAAACUAGACGCAAAGGAUGCCUGCCCAGUAUACAAGGGCAACAGAGUCCACAAUAUAGGUGUUAUUGCGCUGAGUGCCCUGUUCUCUGUGGCCACCAGACAGAUAUUCUAAACUCACCCGGCAGCCUUUCUCAACCUGUGGGUCCCCAGAUGUUUUGGGACACAACUCCCAUCACCCCUAGCUAGCAAGGCCAGAGCUCAGGGAUGAUGGGAGUUGUAGUCCAACAACAUCUGGGGAUCCACAGGUUGAGAACCACUAAAGGAAAGUCAGCAAUCCUUCUCCAGCAGAUCUCAAGUAAUGGGCCAAAAUAUAUGGAGAAAGGAGGCCCUUUGGGUAGGCUGGUCCCAACUUGCUUAGGAAUGUAUAAACUAACACUAACAUAUUAAGUGUGUGCUGGUUUUUCAGCAAUUAUGCCACCAUGCUAUCAGUAACCAGCUUUGGUAAAUAGCUGGGCUGCUGCCUUUUGCACCAGCUGCAGCUUCCAGAUCAGCUUUCAGAGUAGCCCUACACAGAUUGCUUUGUGAUAAUGUGAUUGAGUGUUACCUAUACCUGAACCACUUUGGCUCAGCUACCUCCAUCCAGGAAUGGCUGCAGCUGUUGCACCAGCCAUAGCUAGUAAAAAGGUGCUCUAUUAGGGUUGCCAUACACCUGGAAUUUCCUGGACAAAUCUGGAAUAGUGCAGUCAGCAACAGAUGUCCGGAUGUAUGGCAGCCCAUGUCGACAGUGCCAUUUUUUCCAAAUUUCCAUUAAAAAAAGCUCAGAAAUGGCUUUUUUUUUUUUUUGCAAUUUUGAAAAAAAAAACCCUCAACAACUUUGGGCAAAACUAAAAAAAAUUUCAACAACUUUUCUGACCAGAUUGUCACUGUUUGAAAUAUGCCAACCCUAGUUCUACUCACUGAUACCCAGGAGACCCAGAAAAGAAAGUAACAAAAUAGUACAUUUUGCUACCUAGAGCUCCCAGGUUUAAAGCAAUUGGAAGCCCUGGGCUAGGAGACCCUGGGAGGCCCAAACUUAAUAGCAUAUGAUCAUGAGAAACAGAACCUCGUUCUCUUCUUUGUCUACUCAAUCAAAGUAGAGCAUUGCAGAAAUUUUAGCAUUGAUAAAAAGAUUGUUUAUAAAUUUAUAACCUUAAAUCAGGUUACAAAAGUAUUGAAUUAAUGAAGAUAUCCACACAGAACAUUCAUAGGGGAAUCAUAGCUAUGUUAUAACAUUACACUAUAUAGAAAAUCAGAGCAAUAUGUUUUGACCUCUUUUGGAUGCAAACUUAUCAAUUGUAUCAUUAAAAUCAGUAAGUCACAGUUUUAUCGUUUUCUACCCGUGAAAUGCUUAGAUCACACGACCAAUCCUAGCACAUUAUUGACCAUAGAACAUUCUUUAUCCUUUUUAGUCUAUAACAUUAUCUUUUGCCAUUACAGUUUGUAACCAUUAAACACAGGAACAGUCUGAUAAUUGUUUCCACAUUUGGAACAGCUGUCCAAAUUUUCUCCUGGAAUAUUAUUUGAUACAUAUCUAGGUGGCUGAAAUUUGCUUUUUCAGGGUGAGCUUGUUUGAUGUACAGGUGGAAGUGCAAGAAUUCAUCAACUAGACUAAGGUCAACAUCCUAUGAAUACAUCAACAUCUCAACGUCAUUGUGAAUCUCUUCUCUGGUUGCUUGCAGGUUCACCAUAAAUGAAAAAUUGCCAGCUAUACUCCUGUACACUUGUUGCUCCUCUGUCUAGGUUGGCUUCAAGAGCAUCCAUGACAGGGAUAAAUGAAUUUUCCCUAAACUUAUCUCUUGCAGAAAGUUCAUCCAAGGUUUUGGGUGCUGUCCCAUCAUUUUUUAUUUUUUUAUUCUUUGUAUUCUUUUGACAGUUUUGUACCCUACAUCCAAUAGAGUAAAUUUGGCUUGCUGUUAAAUUUCAUCAAAAUUAGCCCGAGUGUUUGAUACAAACUGUAACAGUGAACUGUGCUCAAAUGAAAUUUGUGAAGUUCUGAGUGUCUUGCUAACUUUAUGAAAUUGUUCUAGCAAAUGUGUCCAAAGAUGAAGCAUGAAAAUGAAUUCAAAUUCUUCCAUUUUCUAAAGAAAAUUUUAGCCUGUUGUCUUUUAUCACCUUUUUUAGUUUCAUCACAGUAACUACAACCCAGGGCUCCAACAAUGUAAGCAUAACUUCCACUAAUAGCUGCAGUAGCUUUGGCAAGAGCCUGCCAUCUUAUGUCUGGUAAAUCUUUAGGGUCAAGAGGCAAGAUUUUUUUAACACUGCCCAUCUUUUUGUAGAAGCUCAGAAAAAUAAAAAUAAAGCUCAUUUAUUGUGGCAAAAAGAAAAUAUCACUGCAUCCAGGCAUGAAAGGACGAGUCAACUGUGGUUCGUCCAACUAAAGUGGAAUGUAGUCUGUGAAACCUUAUAGCAUAACAAAAAUUGAUAGUCUUUAAGGUGAAACAAAACUCUUUGUUGCUAUUGCAAGUAAUCUAUACGAGAUGUUAUCAGAGCAUGAAUAACAGCAGGAAAAAUCUCAAUCAGUGAGAAGAGGAUGCAGCCUGCUGAACAAGUGUCUCACUAAUUUUGAUAACGGCAGUCACAAUGCCAGCAGCCUCAACUGUUGUCCUCCUGCAGUCAAAUGCUGGUGAAUGGUUAGUGAAUGAAUGGCUUGAGAGACAGUGCCACCUAAUCGCUCUUCGAUUCCUCAUGUCUCAGCCCUGCUUUUUUCAUUUGUGGUGCUGGCUCCCCAUGACGACCGCAUUUGGUGAUUCACUUGAUGUUAGUCAUUCAAUCAGUACUGACUUAUCACAGCUCAAAAUUGCCCAAGACAUUUUGCCGCCUGAGGCAAAGGACAAGAUCCCAGCACCACCUCACCUUCCAUGUAGAGACUGGACCAGAAGUUGAAUCUUUCUUCAAUCCAGACAACAGGAUAAUGUCCCCAUGUGCACCUGAGUGCAGUAGGCUAGGUUAAGGGGUGCAUGACAAGCCUGUGGCUUAGUGUGCUUUUAAUAUGAGUUUUAAACUGGUUAUACUGUCUCUGUUAUAAGGGAAAGUUGUUUUCUGUCUUUCAUUGAUUAAUAUUGUCUUGUUUGUAAGCCAUCCAGAGACUAUUUUUUUAAAGGUGGUCACAUAAAUUUAAUAAAUGGCAUGAAUACACCAU
rnacentral:lncRNA from 1 species